rnacentral:rRNA from 1 species
GACGAACCGUGCGAACGUUAUUCGGAAUCACUGGGCUUAAAGCGCGCGUAGGCGGGUCAUCAAGUCCGGGGUGAAAGCCCACGGCCCAACCGUGGAAGUGCCUUGGAUACUGAAGACCUCGAGGGGGAUAGGGGCGUGCGGAACUCAGGGUGGAGCGGUGAAAUGCGUAGAUAUCGGCAGGAACACCCAGGGGGAAACCAGUGGACUGGGCAUGAGCUGACGCUCAGGUGCGAAAGCGUGGGGAGCGAACCGG